rnacentral:rRNA from 1 species
UACGGAGGGUGCGAGCGUUGUCCGGAAUCAUUGGGCGUAAAGGGCGCGUAGGUGGCCCGGUCAGUUCGUGGUGAAAGCGCGGGGCUCAACUCCGCGUCGGCCAUGAAUACUGCUGGGCUUGAGCACUGUAGAGGCAGGCGGAAUUCCGGGGUGUAGCGGUGGAAUGCGUAGAGAUCCGGAAGAACACCGGGUGGCGAAGGCGGCCGCUGGGCAGGUAGCUGACACUGAGGCGCGACAGCGUGGGGGGAGCAAAC